ACCCAGCUGAUGAGUCUCAAAUAGGACGAAAUAGGCGUCCUAGAU
rnacentral:hammerhead_ribozyme from 1 species